ACUUACUACGCAUGCUCAGAGAAAAAGGAGUGAAAGAAAUCUCAGAACUUAAGUAGGGUGGGCCUGGUUAGUACUUGGAUGGGAGACCACCUAGGAAGACCCGGUGUUGUAGGCC
ensembl:rRNA 5S_rRNA 5S ribosomal RNA